AUGACCAAGAGGCUUAACAAUCCAGAGUCACUGACGGGAGUUGUCUUAAUGGCGUAGGAGGGUGCAGAUUUAAUGGGAAUGAGUUCAGGAUAGAAAGGGAGGAGGGAAAAGGGGGACAACACAAACAGACAGCUUUGGGGGGAGAUUCUUCAGUAAAAGGGAACAGAACGUGAAAGAUAGCUAGGGGUGAAGGCGAGAUCAAUGCCGAGUUACUUUUUCACUCCGGAGGGUAGUAUAGGAUGUUUGUGCGCUGGUGGAAAUGGUCCAGCAGAGAGAAAACCUAGUUCUGUGGAGAGGGAGGGGAGAGAUUUCCGGAGCAAUGACUCUGAGAGCAAAGCGAUAGAAUGCAGUGCACAAGGAACGGGUUGACUUAGGAGGAGACAACUCAUCCGUCAAGACAGGAGCAGCAGCUGACGGCUGCAGAGCCGAGUAGGUUGGCGGAUGUGGGUGGGACCACGGAGGUUCUUUUCUGGUGGUUUUUAUUUUUGCAGUGGUAGAAAAAGAAUAAAAUAGGAUUUCCAGGCAGCAUAAAAGAUCACCGAUGUAAAGUGAGACUAGCCAACCAUGCUCCAUGUCUUUCUUCAACAGCCUGGAUGCAAGUUUAAACGAGAGGGGACUUAAGCAGCUGGAGUUCUGCGUGGGACCUGGCUUCUGCUACACAGACGUAUUACAGGAGAAUGGAGUCAGAAUGGCCAACAUUCAAAAGUUCACAAAUGACAAAUGCUGGAGAGGCUGUGGAGAAAAGGGAACCCUCCUGCACUGCUGGUGGGAAUUCAGUUUGGUGCAGCCACUGUGGAAAACAGUAUGGAGAUUCCUCAAAAGACUAGGAAUAGACUUACCAUAUGACCCAGGAAUCCCGCUCCUGGGCAUAUAUCCAGAAGGAACCCUACUUCAGGAUGACACCUGCACCCCAAUGUUCAUAGCAGCAUUAUUUACGAUAGCCAAGACAUGGAAACAGCCUAAAUGUCCAUCAACAGAGGACUGGAUAAAGAAGAAGUGGUAUAUUUCUACAAUGGAAUACUACUGAGCCAUAAAAACCGACAACAUAACGCCAUUUGCAGCAACAUGGAUGCUCCUGGAGAAUGUCAUUCUAAGUGAAGUAAGCCAGAAAGAAAAAGAAAAAUACCAUAUGAGAUCGCUCAUAUGUGGAAUCUAAAAAACAAACAAACAAACAAAGCAUAAAUACAAAACAGAAAUAGACUCACAGACAUAGAAUAUAAACUUGUGGUUGUCAAGGGGGUGGGGGGUGGGAAGAGAUAGACUGAGAUUUCAAAAUUGUAGAAUAGAUAAACAAGAUUAUACUGUAUAGCACAGGGAAAUAUAUACAAGAUCUUAUGGUAUACACUGGAAUUUGACACAACAUUAUAAAAUUAUUAUAAAUCAAUAAAAAAUGUUAAAAAAUAAAAAAUAAAUAAAAAUUUAAAAAAAGAUCUUAUGGUAGCUCACAGAGAAAAAAAUGUGACAAUGAAUAUAUACAUGUUCAUGUAUAACUGAAAAAUUGUGCUCUACACUGGAAUU